AUUGAACGCUGGCGGAAUGCUUUACACAUGCAAGUCGAACGGCAGCACGGACUUCGGUCUGGUGGCGAGUGGCGAACGGGUGAGUAAGGUAUCGGAACGUGCCCAGUCGUGGGGGAUAACGUAGUGAAAAUUACGCUAAUACCGCAUACGAUCUAUGGAUGAUAGCGGGGGAUCGCAAGACCUCGCGCGAUUGGAGCGGCCGAUAUCAGAUUAGGUAGUUGGUGGGGUAAAGGCACACCAAGCCAACGAUCUGUAGCUGGUCUGAGAGGACGACCAGCCACACUGGAACUGAGACACGGUCCAGACUCCUACGGGAGGCAGCAGUGGGGAAUUUUGGACAAUGGGCGAAAGCCUGAUCCAGCCAUUCCGCGUGCAGGAUGAAGGCCCUCGGGUUGUAAACUGCUUUUGUACAGAACGAAAAGGUUUCUACUAAUACUAGGAGCUCAUGACGGUACUGUAAGGAUAAGCACCGGCUAACUACGUGCCAGCCGCCGCGGUAA
rnacentral:rRNA from 1 species